AGCCCUCCUCCCGUCCCCCUGCCCCCAUCCCACUCCACGCCCCUCCCCUGGCCCCUGACUUCCAGCACCGGUGGAUUCUUCUCCUGCUCCGGGUUCCCCUGGGGCGCACGCCCUGCUCUAAGCCACCGUGGGGAGCACCAGGGCCGUCUCCACAGUUGGGUGGGGCAGCCUGGCGCCCCUGCAGAUUCCAGUGCAGACGGGCCCUGUGGAAAGGGGGUCCCUGUGAGGUGCACGGGCACCUUGCGGCGGGCGGCUGAGGAGCUCCGAGCCGUGGGCCAAGUGGCUGUGGUCGGGCCAGGUCGGGGGCUACACUCGCCGCCCCAGUUGACCAGUCAGGGUCGCAAGUGCUCGGCCGGCACCCUCCGUGUCCAGGCAACGGCCAGGUGUGGACCAGGCGGUCGGGGGCGCUGCCCUCAUCGCCCACGCUCUCAGGAAGUGCAGGCGUGUGACCCCUGUGAGACAGUCAGACGUGCUGCUCGCGCCAUGGGCCCCCCCAGGUUGUCAGGCUGCACGCUUGGCAUCUGCUCACCGGGUGCCAGGAGAACCCCACCCCCAGGGUGACAGCCGGCGUGGACACCGCCAUCGGCGUCAGGCCCGCUUCCCUCGUCACGGGCCUUUCUGGGCACGGUGGCCGCGCUCUGGCCAGCCGAGACCUCUCCCCAAGCCUCGGACCUGCAGGAAGAGGCCUCCGGGGCCCUUCAGUGCUGUUUCCCACCCAUAACCAAGGGCAGCGCCUUGCAUGGAAAACCAGUAACUUGUGAACAAAACACACGCGCGGCCGUCCUCUGCCGGUGUGCAGACCGCAGAUGGACUCAGGCUCCUUUCCGCUGCCCGCCAGGGGGAAGACAACGCUCAUCAGCUUGAGGGCGGGCCGAGGGCUGCUGUCUUUCGGGGAGGCCCGGGUCUCCACUCCGGCCCGCGACCGCCCUUGCGGGUGCACACAGUGACCGCGGGCUCCCCGCCUCCCAAAGCCCCACAGGUGGCUUGGCCACAGUCCCCAGUGCGCCCACAGCCCCGGGAGAGCCGACCCCUGGGUGGCCGCCUGCCGACGCUGAAGAGACUGUGGAACUGGGCUGAGAGCAUGUGGCUUUCUGGGGACAGGGCUGGUGGGUCCGUUUGUCCCCCAACCGUCGGAGCACCACCCUCUGAAAUUGUUAGGGACCAAACGACGGGCUCUAGGACCUGAGUCAUGUUUACCAGAAAGAGACAGGCAUGCGCUCAUCCUG